rnacentral:rRNA from 1 species
UGGGGAAUAUUGGACAAUGGGGGCAACCCUGAUCCAGCCAUGCCGCGUGUGUGAAGAAGGCCUUAGGGUUGUAAAGCACUUUCAGUGGGGAGGAAAAGUUGACGGCUAAUACCCGUCAACCCUGACGUUACCUGCAGAAGAAGCACCGGCAAACUCCGUGCCAGCAGCCGCGGUAAUACGGAGGGUGCGAGCGUUAAUCGGAAUUACUGGGCGUAAAGCGCGCGUAGGCGGCCUGUUAGGCUGGAUGUGAAAGCCCUGGGCUCAACCUAGGAACUGCAUUCGAAACUAAGGGACUUGAGUAUGGGAGAGGGAAGUGGAAUUCCUGGUGUAGCGGUGAAAUGCGUAGAUAUCAGGAGGAACACCGGUGGCGAAGGCGACUUCCUGGACCAAUACUGACGCUGAGGCGCGAAGGCGUGGGGAGCAAACAGGAUUAGAUACCCUGGUAGUCCACGCAGUAAACGGUGAACACUAGGUGUAGCGGGUAUUGACCCCUGCUGUGCCGCAGCUAACGCAUUAAGUGUUCCGCCUGGGGAGUACGAUCGCAAGAUUA